GGAUAAUGCAAGUGUUUAACAGAUGCUUCACUAUUAAAAUAUUUUCCCCCCAAGUCUCAAAUAUUGAAGAAUCUCUAACCAGGGACACCAGUCCCUACGAAGACCUUGGGCGAUUUUGAAGUGCGGGCACCUCGAUUCCCCGAAUCUGUAGUGUGGCUGGUAUCGGUGUUCCCCUGGUUUAACUAGCCUGUUUGAUGGGGAAAUUGAGGCAGAGAAGCCAAGACAUGUGCUAAAGGUCAUGCAGGCUAUGAAUGGAGCUGGAAUGUGAACGCAGGCCAUAUGACCCCAGAGCCCAUGUUCUUGAACCCUUAGAAAGACAGCAGCAACACACCUGGUGCAGCAGCUGCUUAGUUGGAGUGGCUGACAAGAGAUCCUGGCAAAUGGGUGUUUCUUCCCAGAAAGGGAUUUUUCUCCAUGACUGCAGUUGAAUUGCAGAGUUGUAGAGACAUCCAGGUUCUUGUUAGUGUGGACGAACUAUCCAUGAAGAUCUUAAAUGCAGGAG
rnacentral:lncRNA from 10 species